UUCCGGACGCCAAGACAGAGCGCUGCCGCCGAAUUUAAAGAGACAGGCUUUAGUUUUUUUUAAAUACGAAAAACGGUAACCAUUGUCUCUGGGCUUAUUUUCCGAUACUUCUUGCCUGGGCUCGUUUAAUUCGAUGGUGAUGUUUCAUCAAAGUCACCGAGAGUAGCAGGUUGUCUGUCAUCAACCUUCAUUCUGCUGGAUUUCCCGUCCUUUUUUUUUUUUGCCUCUGUACCUAGACUGUCCAGCUAGGCAGAGUAGGGUUGCUUGCUGGCAGGCUGGCUUCCCGACCGAGAGCAAGGUUUGUCGGCUAGCCAACAACUGGAGGUAACGCCGAAGCUUCCCUCUUAAGUUGUGGUAGCGGCUCUCGAGCCUCCUGUCGCCGGGAUAAUGGCGAAGAUUCAGGCGCACAGCACCGCGAAGCAAAUAAACCAAAUUCAAGACAAGCCUUACGUUAUAACACAAAAGCAAGUGCAGCAGCAGCACUUCCAGAAGCUGAAGGUUGAAGAUGCCUUGUCAUAUCUGGACCAAGUCAAAAUUCGUUUUGCGAAUGACCCUGGGAUAUAUAACAAGUUUCUCGACAUCAUGAAGGAGUUCAAGUCGCAGAGCAUCGACACACCGGGAGUGAUAAACCGUGUAUCACAACUGUUUCAUGGACACCCAGACCUCGUCUUGGGCUUCAAUGCCUUCUUGCCACCGGGGUAUCGGAUAGAGGUCCCUAAGAAUGGGAUGGCUUUCCUUCAGUCUCCUUUCUCUGCACAGGUAUCCCCAAGCCCGCAGGGGAAGAGUCCUGUCGCUCCUGCUGUUGCUGCAACUUCGGGUAGCGCCUCUUCCUCUCACUCUGAAGUGGGACCUGCCCAGACCAGUGAAGUCAAGGUGGCCACAACAGAGCCCCUGUCUUCAUCAGCAGCAGGACCUCCAGAGCCUCCCAGCAGACUUUCUCUUCCCCUGACCAGCAGAGAGAGCCAAAAUCCAGCAGCCACCUCAUCUGUGUCCCCGCCUGCCUCAGAGACGAGCCCCGUAGAAUUUGAUAGCGCCAUCAGCUAUGUCAACAAGAUUAAAAACCGUUUCCUGGACCAUCCAGAGAUCUAUAGAGCCUUCCUAGAAAUUCUUCACACAUAUCAGAAGGAACAGCUGGAGGUGAAGGAGAGUCGAGGCAGUCGAGGCAGCAGUGGGAUGACAGAAGAUGAGGUGUUUUCUAAAGUUGCCAGUCUCUUCAAGGGACAAGAAGACCUGCUGGCUGAGUUUGGACAAUUCUUGCCCGAUGCCAAGAGAUCACUGUUCACAGGCAGUUCGCUCACCGGGGGGAAAGAGCAGCUGAAAAGAACAGAGGAAGAGGACACGAUAACCAAACAGAACAAAAAGAGACCGAGGCCCAUACUUCUCCAGCACAUGUCCCCACUGCUCAAGAAAAAAAUGAAGUAUUCCUGUACCAAAGAUCAGUCCUUUGCUUCGGUUGGCAAACAUGGAGUCUUAAGAGAAUUUUCCUUCUUUGAUAAGGUUCGUCGUCUGUUUAAAAGCCAGGAAGUAUAUGAGAACUUCCUGCGCUGCAUCGCCUUGUUUAACCAAGAAGUGGUUUCAGGAGCUGAGCUGCUACAGCUUGUUACUCCUUUCUUGGGGAAGUUUCCUGAACUGUACACACAGUUCAAGUCAUUUCUCGGGGACAAAGAGCUCUCUCAUGCUGUGUCAGGGCUGUCGGAUCGUUACAUGGAGGGAGGAGGGGGCAGGGAGGUGGAUUAUGCCUCCUGCAAGCGCCUGGGGUCCAGCUAUAGAGCACUGCCCAAGACCUACCAGCAGCCUAAAUGCAGUGGGCGCACGGCCUUAUGCAAGGAGGUACUGAAUGACACCUGGGUGUCUUUCCCCUCCUGGUCAGAAGAUUCAACCUUUGUUAGCUCCAAGAAGACUCCUUAUGAGGAGCAGCUGCAUCGCUGUGAGGAUGAAAGAUUUGAGUUGGAUGUUGUUCUGGAGACAAACUUGGCCACCAUCAGAGUCCUAGAGAGUGUCCAGAAGAAGCUUUCUCGCCUCUCACCAGAGGACCAGGACCGAUUCAGAUUAGACGACUGCCUGGGCGGCACUUCUGAGGUCAUCCAGCGUCGUGCGGUGUAUCGUAUCUAUGGCGACAAAGCCCCUGAGAUCAUCGAGGGACUGAAGAGGAGUCCUGCUACUGCUGUGCCUGUGGUGCUGAAGAGGUUGAAAGCUAAGGAGGAAGAGUGGAGAGAGGCCCAGCAGGGUUUCAAUAAGAUUUGGAGGGAGCAGUACGAGAAGGCCUACCUGAAGUCCCUCGACCACCAAGGAGUCAACUUCAAACAGAACGAUAUGAAGGCCCUGCGGUCGAAAAGUCUUCUUAAUGAGAUUGAAAGCAUCUACGACGAGCGUCAGGAGCAGAGCACAGAAGAAGGUGGCGUUGGCCAACAAAGCCGUAACGGUUCAGCCUCAUCCAGCGAACCUCACAUGGUGUUUACUUACGAGGACAAACAAAUCCUGGAGGAUGCUGCCUCACUCAUCAUCUACCACGUUAAACGACAACCAACCAUUCACAAAGACGACAAGGACCACAUCAAACGCAUCAUUCAGCACUUUGUCCCCGACUUGUUCUUCUCCCGCCGCGGCGAGCUCAGUGACACUGAAGAAUGGACGGAUGAGGAGGCUGAGCCGGAAGAGGGAGGCGAUAAAGGAGGAGGUGGAACCGCCACCGCCGCAGCAGGCGGAGGAGGAAAUGGUAAUAAUGCAUCAGGAGCAGCAGCCGGCAGUUGUCAGUCUCAACCCCAACCUGUCCAAUCACAGUCCCAGACCCAGUCCCAACCGCAGCAGCAGCUCAACGGCGAUUCCAGGAGGAGGCGCUGCAGCCCAUCCCAACCUGCAGAAAACGAAGCCUCGACCACGUCAAGCAGCAUAAGCCAGCCUGCUGGGUCCACACCGACCCCGGGGUCUACGCCGAUGGAGAUGAGCUCGGGUGCAGCCGGGGAGAAGGUGGACCUUCGUGACCCCGAAGCAGAGCACCAAAAGGAGCUGGAUGGUGUCUACAACCUGUUUUUCGUCAACAACAACUGGUAUUUCUUUUUGCGGCUGCACCAGACUCUGUGUUCGCGGCUGCUGCGGGUUUACCGACAAGCAGAACGGCAGCUGCUGGAGCAUCGAGCUGAGCAGAGCAGAGAGAGGCUGCUGAUGGCCGAGGGACGGAGGGAAAAGGCGUGCGACCUCGCUAUGGAGCUCCGCCUCAAGCAGCCCAGCGAGGUGGAGUUAGAGGAGUAUUACCCAGCUUUCCUCGAUAUGGUGCGCAGUUUGCUUGAUGGCAACCUGGACUCUACACAAUAUGAGGACACGCUGAGGGAGAUGUUCACCAUCCACGCCUAUAUCGGCUUCACCAUCGACAAAGUCAUCCACAACAUCAUCCGACAGUUGCAGCACCUGGUGAGCGACGAGGUGUGUCUGCAAGUGGUUGAGCUUUACCUGGCUGAGAGGAAACGAGGGGCAGCCGGGGGAAACCUGUCCUCACAGUGUGUCAGAGCAGCCUGGGAGACCAGCUACCAGUGGAAAGCUGAGCGAGUGAUGGCCGAAGAGAACUGCUUCAAGGUGAUGUUUAUUCAAAACAAGGGUCAAGUGACAAUGACCAUCGAGCUGCUGGACACUGAGGAGGCCCAGGCUGAUGACCCGCUAGAUGUUCAGUGCCUGUCGAGCUACAUGGAGCAGUUUGUAGGAACAGAGUCCAGUCUGUGCUCUCAAGCAGAGGGCUACUUCUUCAAGCCCGUAUUUCUGCCCAGGAACCUGCGCCGUUUUCGCCGCUGGCAAGUGCGACAGGUGGAGGCGAUGCGCUGCAGGAGAGAGUGGCACCGCCAGCUGGGCGUGGAAAACGCCGGCAGUCUCGACUGUCGUUUUAAACUCAACACUCACAAGAUGGUGUUUGUCAUGAACUCUGAGGACUACAUGUACCGCAGAGGGGCCCUCGUCAAGGCCAGGAAGUCGCAGCACAGAGUGGCAGCGAGCCAGCACGAACGCUUCGACAAGUGGCACCAGAGCUGGCUGACCAAUCAUGUUGCAGCCUCGGCUGAACGCUCCGUACAGAACUGGCUAAUGGGCGAAGACGAGGAGGAUCUCAUCCCCUGCAAGACUACCUGCCUCUCGACUGAAGUGAAGGGGCAGAUGGUCAACAGAUACCAGGUUCAUUACAGCGGUAGCAAAGCCCCUUCUUCACCGUAGAGGCCUGCACAGAUGGACAGUAAUGCACACACACAGACACACACACAGGUAAAUGCAUGAAUGCAAAGGACAUACGUACACUAAACACAGACAUAAACAGCUGCAGUCGUGUCUCCACGACGCGCUCGCUCAGUCACUCUGACUCACGGAUGAAGAAACUGGCAGAAACGCAGUGAGUCAGUGAGUGAGCGAGAGGAGUGACGAUGCGGGGACGAGGGCCAACAGACAGUGAAGUAAUCAAUGAGAGCCAGCUCGGCCCUGAUCUGCAGCACGAGUGGACGAACGGAGUUCAUCAUCCUCGGCAUCUUCAUCAUUCGAGCUUCUGUGGUGGCAGUAACGUUAAUAAGGCUGACGGCUGAGUCAGCUGAUCAGUUUAACCAACACAGCCUCGCCGACGCAGCUCGCAGUCACUGUCGAGGAGUGUCUGUGUGCGCAGAUGGAGCCUGUGAAGAGGAGAUAAUCUGACAGACCAAAAAACCUGGAGCUCAAACGACAAUGGUAGAAACCUGCAGCUGCUUCGAUAACUAAAGAGUCACUUAUUUUUAAAGAAAACUGAGGAAACUAGAUGAGUAAAAAAGAGAAGUUGUCUACAAAGAACUGCACACAGUAGAUGACUGAUGACCUGAGAGAACAUCUGGCCCUUCAGUUGAUCCAUCUACUGUUCACCAAAGCUUGGUUAGAAAUGGCUUCAGAGAAAAUAUGGAUAUAAAAAAGCAAUUAUUAAGGACGAGAACAGGGUUGAGGUAUGCCAAAUUCCAAAAGUACUGGAGCAAAAAUCAACAGCUGAGACUGAAUUUGACUUUUUUGGUUAAAAAUCCUUGUCUUUAUGCCCAAAUAUGGCUAGGCUGUGUGAUGAUCUGAGGCAGACUGAAGCCAGCGGUGUUGGGGAUCUUGUCAAGCUUGAUGGAUUGAUGAACAAAUAAAAGUGCCAGCAGAUUUUAAUCAUGUAAAACCAUCUGGAAGGCAUCUGAUUAUUAAUGGCUUCAUUUUUCAGCAGGACAGUGACCCCAAACAUACUGACAGUGCAGUAAGAGCAUAGCUCAACAGAACAAAGAAGAGCUCUGAAUGUCCUGGAGAACUCUUCCUGAACACUUACAGAAUUAAGAGAGUUCAGACUGCGCUGCCAAAUAUUGACUUUAGGCUCAUUAGAAAUGCACAAACUCUGUGUUUGCCUUUUGCACUGUUUGUACAAGCUUCAAUAAAUGACUGGACCGAUUUCCCUUUUUCAGAGCAAAAUGAAA